CAUAAGCAGGCACCAGCACCCGCUGCACUGCACCUUCAGAGGCCACAUAAUCGUCCACCAGCUAAGAACAUAUGGGAAAAAAAAACCCUAUUAGCCAGCCAGGCUUGUGGGAACCUGGUCAACCAUCAUUCACUGGUCCAGCGGGUGCCCUCACCUUGAUCCUGCCCUGGCUACAUCUGACAGUCGCUGCCCUGACAUCGGCUUGCCUGCCUGUGCCCUCACUCAAGGACACACAAGACUGCUGAUUUAUUUUAAAACCAAGUUUGCAUUUUUGUUCAAGAGGAAUGAACAAAGACUGACCAUCACUGAAGAAUAUAUAUGCCUUUUGCAAAAUGCUAUCAACUUUUAGAACUGGAAUGUUAAGAAAAUGAUCUUCAAUCCUAUGAUGACUUGCCAACACAAAAUGACAAUGUCAAACUUAAGCGUGCAUAAAAUCUGUGUUUGGGGUUCAUCAGUAUCAGUCUAAUUUUAAUAAUGUGAAAGGAGCCUAGAAAAUGUACUUUUCAAUACUUUUGUUAUUUUUUUCAUAAAUAUUUAGAUAAAGAGUGAAAACUCAUCUUUGGACAGACAGUUCAGGGUAAGGCUGUCCAUAAUCUUAACUAUCCAUUUCCUCCCAAGUCACAUGCAUUUUUGUUAGAACUAAAUAUAUCAUACUCUUGGCAGCUCCCUUGCUUGUUUCAACCCAUUCUGAGCUUGAAUUUUCUGCAUGACUGAGUUCACCUCCAAACUAGGAAAAAUAAAAGUUUUCUAUCUAAUA